rnacentral:tRNA from 1 species
GGGGCUGUAGCUCAGUGGCAGAGCACUUGCCUAGCAUGUGUGAGAUACUGGGUUCGAUCCUCAGCACCA